ACUCAAAGGAAUAGACGGGGGCCCGCACAAGCAGUGGAUCAUGUGGUUUAAUUCGACGAUACGCGAAAAACCUUACCAGAACUUGACAUCUGGGGAAUUCUGUAGAAGUACGGAAGUGCCCGCAAGGGAACCCCAAGACAGGUGGUGCAUGGUUGUCGUCAGCUCGUGUCGUGAGAUGUUAGGUUAAGUCCUGCAACGAGCGCAACCCUCGUAUUGUGUUGCUACAUUUAGUUGAGCACUCUCAAUAGACUGCCCGUGGUAAACGGGAGGAAGGUGGGGAUGACGUCAAAUCAUCAUGCCCUUUAUGUUCUGGGCUACACACAUGAUACAAUGGCAAGUACAAAGGGAUGCCAAUCCGCAAGGUGGAGCAAAUCUCAAAAAACUUGCCUCAGUUCGGAUUGUAGGCUGCAACUCGCCUGCAUGAAGAUGGAAUUGCUAGUAAACGCAGAUCAGCACGCUGCGUUGAAUACGUUCCCGGGCCUUGUACACACCGCCCGU
rnacentral:rRNA from 1 species